rnacentral:rRNA from 1 species
CCCUUAGAUGUUCUGGGCCGCACGCGCGCUACACUGAUACAUGCAACGAGUUUAUAACCUUGAUCUGACGGUCUGGGUAAUCUUCAAACUGUAUCGUGUUAGGGAUCGAUUCUUGCAAUUUUUAAUCGUAAACGAGGAAUUCCUAGUAAACGCAAGUCAUCAGCUUGCAUUGAUUACGUCCCUGCCCUUUGUACACACCGCCCGUCGACUCUACCGGUUGAAUGGUUCGGUGAAAACUUUGGACUGUGGCAUUGUCCUUCAUUGGACUUCGCCGUAGGAAAUUGUUUAAACCUCAUCAUUUAGAGGAAGAAUAAGUCGUAACA